rnacentral:rRNA from 1 species
GACGAACGCUGGCGGCGUGCUUAACACAUGCAAGUCGAACGGAAAGGCCCUGCUUUUGUGGGGUGCUCGAGUAGCAAACGGGUGAGUAACACGUGAGUAACCUGCCCUUGACUUUGGGAUAACUUCAGGAAACUGGGGCUAAUACCGGAUAGGAGCUCCUGCUGCAUGGUGUGGGUUGGAAAGUUUCGGCGGUUGGGGAUGUACUCGCGGCUUAUCAGCUUGUUGGUGGGGUAGUGGAUUACCAAGGCUUGGACGGGUAGCCGGCCUGAGAGGGUGACCGGCCACAUUGUGACUGAGAUAGGGCCAAGACGCCUACGUGAGGCAGCGGUGGGGAUUAUUGCAAAAUGGGCGGAAGCCGGAUGCAGCAACGCCGCGUGCGGGAUGACGGCCUUCGGGGUGUAAACCGCUUUCGCCUGGGACGAAGCGUGAGUGACGGUAAUGGGUAAAGAAGCACCGGCUAACUACGUG